CGCUCGCCUCCUGUCCAUGUAUACAAAAAGUUGCGCUCCAACUUAUCACAACGGCAGAGUCAGUCGAGACAUUUUGACGUGUGUGCAGCACAGCAGUCAGCAGUCAGCUGGACAACUUGGCUGGACCCAUGCAGGCUCUGGUUGUUUUAUUCCCGUCCAAGACAGACAACAAUCAAAUGAGUUUGCGCUUGGGAGGGCUGGUUUUCUUGACGCUUUCCAUGGCCGUCAUCCUCAGCAGCGGAGUCCAGAAUCAGCACGGAUCGGUGGCUGUCAAUCGUCCAGAGGCUUUGUUUCAAUCGCUUUUCCUGUGGGCUUCGGCCCUCCUGUGCUUCUACGACUGCCUGGCCAUGAUCGCCGUCUACCGCAACUUUGAAGUGAAACUGGACGUGAACCACAGGUAGCAACUGCUGCACCUCAAUCUUGUCGAGUGUUUUAUUGUGUUGUUCAAACUGGUGCGUGAAAACUCCCCCGGAGGCGCGACCAAUUAACACUUCAUCUGUAAUAAAAAUAAAAGAUUGGAAAAUCUAUUCCAGGAGCCAAUGCAAAUCAUAAAAUGAUAUUGUCGGCCAAUGUCAACUUUUGGCAAGCGAGAGAGUUGAAAUGUGUACAUAAUCAGAUGUUUAAGUUUAAAUGAUUUGGAUCACUCUCGAAAUAAACAAUUCAAAGGGGGAAAGAACCUGUCAUAUUGCAAACGUUGUGUGUGAAAGGUAAUAUGGUUCGACCCAGACGAGCAGGUGACCCUCGCAGCCAAUCAGCUAAACUUUCUGAAUCUGCUCGCCCCAUUUCCCAUUUCUGUAUAGUUGUAGUCGCACAAGGAAAAAUAAAGAAAAAAAAGGUAACAGUUAGAAAAUGUUACCCAGCGUUCACUCCUUAUUAGAUCACAUGAAAAAAAAUAAGAGAGAUUACCAACACCCUUUUAUAGACGCGCUCAAUGAUGGAAAACUAAAUGUGUCGAAAUUUAAUUAUAUAAAAGGGCAUUAGAUUAAAUUAAAAAUUCAAAUUAGCUUUGCUCUGAUUGUUGCCGUAUUUCUGGUGGGUCGGGUAUUAAAAAUUAAAUUUAAAAAAUUUAAAUAAAAAUCAGGAUGUACGUGAGAUUAGAGAAGGGGGGUGCUCCCCACGAAGGUGUACCCCAGACCGCUAUCAGAUACAAGAUCUACGAUCCUUGAGGGGGAUACACCCCGUGAGGCGUCGUCCACGAAUGCAAUGGUGUUACUUGGUGCUUAAUACCGUCCGUAUUACCCAUGAACCGUGCAGUGUCGUCUUGGCUGCCCCACAGAGCCCGUAUCCGACUCUAAUCUCCGUUGCAACCACAUCAGUACUGGGGCGCCACCUGACGGUUUAAUGGUGAACUACCCAUGUUCCUUUGGGGAGUCGAACUCGGGCCUCAAUGUGCUCUGAUGGUUAAGACACGGCCCGACUCGCACGCCUCCUAUCCGACUCACCCACUCUGCCCCGUUGUCAUUUGUUUUAAUUUGUCGCCAGGAUUUUGACUUGUGACAUCUAAUUAGACAUUUGGCAUGCGGUUAUUUCGGAAGGAUUUUUGUUUGACUUUUACAAUUAAAUUUAAUCAUAAUUAAUAUUAAACAAUUAAAUAAAUAAUGAACAUUGUGGAAAAAAAAAUUAAAAGAUUUUUUAAAAGAUUACCCGGAUGUUUUUCUUCGUGUGAUUUACCCGACAAAAAAAAGGUCCAGUAGAUUAGAAUAGACACGCCCAAUCCCCGACGUUGCCAACAUCUGCCGCCAGGGUAUCAAUCUCUAUCGGACGAUAAUCCGGUAUUCCAUCCACUUCAUUAAUAAUUAAA
rnacentral:lncRNA from 1 species